UUGAAACGGUUUGAUUGAUUUAACUGAGAACAAGACUAAGCAACGUUUGAGUCAAAAGACUCAAUAUUGGCUGUCAAUAUUAAUUAGCCAAAUCAAUGACCCCGCCCUCGACUGAUGCCCAAUGAGGUCACUGUGAAGGACUAAAUGAAUGACAACAACGUACUUUAUCGGUUCAUUGGUCAGUGUUGGUGCACCUCCAAGAUCUACUGAUCACACAAUGACAUCACAUCUGACAUCCAUGACUAUGACCUCACCAGGGAUCAAAGGACAAAGGAAUAAAGACAUGCGGGGAAAUCUCAAGUAGUAGAAAGAAUGGGGGAAAAGGUCACGACAGUGAUGACAACAACUAAUGGAUCAUGACAGAACCUAAGCUAACGUCAACAGCAUAGGACGCAGUAGGAGACGAAGGAUAAAGAAGAAGACAGUGUUUGCAACAUUAUGGGAGCCAAGCGCUGUAACACACCACCAACCAACCUGUAGCUUGUACCAGACGUUUAAAAUGAACGCCAGGGGAGAUGGACGGCACAACGGAAGGAACAGUCCACGUUGGUACAUCCUACCAAUGGGACAUCUGCCACCAGCUAAUCAGCUGACCAAUCGGCACAUCGCUAUAUUGAACAACUUCGUGCAGUGGGGAAGGACCGAACAAGAGCUUAGGGAAAUUAUGAUCACUUUGCAAGAUCGAAGUCAGCACAUCGGUAUAGGACGCAUCCCAGAGCAGCCCGAGCCGUGAGUAUGGAGGCGAUGACAACGCUGACGAUGCAGCGACGGAGGAGGAAGGAAAUGAUGAGACGCAAGGGACUGAAGAACGCUACUGACCUUUAGAGAUCUGGAUCCAGACCAGAAUCUAUACAUCGUCUAGGACAAAACUCUUGUUAGCUCUCUUCUUAACUUAUACACUUGUAUAGGAUCUCAGGUUUGUUAACACAAGUGGGUUUCAAUUUGUUUUUGUUUUUUUUUUCACCACACCGCUAGUAGUUAAUCGCAGAAUGAAUUACACGCGAAGGAGAGGUCGCAGAGUUCGACCUCGUACAUAACAAAGACUCGCGAUCAUCAGCAGCCGACGGCUCUUCAUUCAGCUGCUCCACUAGUUUAACCCGCGCGCUGCUCCUUUUGUGAAACAAGUUGUGAUCAAACUGGGGAAAUACUGAUCUACACUUUCUGAUUUAAUGUGUUACAUUUAAAAUGUGUUAAAAAAAACUGACAAGGGAAGUAGCUGCAAUACCUGCAGCCGGGGAAAGGAGCAGAUGAAAUAGGCUCGUUGUUGUUGACAAUGAAUGACUAACAUUUUUUGAGAAUUGUACACUGACAAUUAAACAUUAAGAGCAGGAAA